UAAAAUAUGGAUGUUGUUAUUCAGCCAUUGUGAGGCCAAUAGAUCAAGAGAGGGCUCAUUGAAAAGAUGGUUAAUUUUCUACACACACACACACACACAC